UCGCUGGUGUGGGCGGUGUACCUGCUAAAGUUGGAACAAUACUGAGAUGAGGCCUUGCACGGCCUUUGCCCGAGGAUGACACGCACAUUCAGGAAGCGUUCCAUAUUUAG